rnacentral:lncRNA from 1 species
ACCUUUUCAUUUGAUGUAUGGGCGGUGAGUGGCCUAUAAAUAGUGUGGCCUCUGUAACAUACCAGAUUUUGGUAUAAAAAUAAAAAUAAAUAAAAAUAGUGUGAGAAACUAUUUUUAUUGGAUUUGUAGGAGUAAAACAUAAGUCAGAAGUGACUUGUGCUGAAAUCGGAAUGAAAACAGAAAAUCUAAAAUUUUCUGUUGGAAACGGGACAGAUAAAUUAGCAGAAAAUGCAGAGUCUCAGAAAAUCAUGAAAAUUGGAGGAUAAGUUAGAAAUAUUUUUAUGAGGCUAGAUUUAAAGUUUCAUAUUUUUCUGACACCCGUAGAGUGAGAAAUAAAAUCCGACAGCUAUCUGAUAAAGAUUGCAGUUCGGUACAGUUUUCAGUGACCAAACGGGGUCGAAACUGAACCAGUGAUCGUCAGCUUGUUAAGUUAAGUAAAACCGAACAUGACUGUCAAGUUUGAGCUCAAACGGACAUUCAGGGAGCUCCGGCGAAAGUUAUCAGAUUUUAAGUUGCCUGGAUGAAUAGUGUUUGAGGGGUAUUAUGAAGAAGCUGAUGCUUCUUCUUCUCCUUCGGCCGCACACCACACACGCACACGCCACACACACACACGCAUGGAAAGAGGGAGAAAGAGAAGCCUCCAUUUUCUCUCUCUAAAUCUCUCCCAAAAUGGAUGGAUUUGGUGGAGAAGUAAGCUUGGAAGUUGAUCUUCAUCAACUUCAUCUUCUUCCUCUCCAUUGGAGCAUGCUUUGAAGGUAAGCUUUAAGAGCUUUAAUGGCAUUUCUCUAUUGCUUGGGUUUUAAGCUCUAGAAACGAAUUAGUAGCUUUCCUAGAUGCUAAGUAGAUGAUUUAUGCUUAGAUCCUAAGUUCUAAUGGUGGAUUUUUACCUAUUGAAACCUAGAGCUCCAAAAUGAGGGCUUUAAUGGUAGAUCUCUAAAGAUAGGUCUAAAUGCUUUGGAAAUGGUUUUAGUGGAACCCAUUGAUGCCUAAUAGAUGAUUAAUGCUUGAAUCAUAGAGCAAUUUAAUGAUUUCUUGCAUAGUUGUAAACCUAGGGCUCAAAAUGCAAACUUUCAAAAUAUGAGGGUUUGAUCUCAUUUGACCCUCCGUAAACCAAAUUGCUAGGUAAACGAACGCGUUGGCGAAGACGGUUCGGCAAUCCGACGAGCCGUUACAAAGUUAUUAAAGAAAUGGACGUUUAGGCUUCGGGUCCGCCGGGAGGGCCGAGGCGAUAUCGUAAAUUCAUGAAAAUGGAUUUGAAGCAUCGUGGCACAUAACCGAAGACCUUUAAUUUUCGGAUCGUGAAUUGGAGGCCGUUCGGGUGGUCGCGUGAGAGAUCGGGCCAAACCGGGUGCCGGGUGCCGCGGGAGGCCGAUUGCAAGUGUCGACAAGCAAUCGGAAUGCGAAAUGAGGUGGGUUGUGCUUACCGAAGCGACUAGGUCGCCCUUUAUGUCUAAGAAAUGAGAUUUCAUAUUGAUGCAUAUUGACAUAAUAUAAGAAUGUGAAAAGAAUGCAUGUUAACAUACUAUAGAAAUGCUAGAUAAAUGCAUAUGAUUAAUGCUUUGAAUGCAUAAUAUAAAGGGCGUAUGAAUGUUAGCAUUAUAAGAACAUCAUAAAAGGAAUGUAUGAUGACAUGUUGUAGAAUAUGCUAAAUGUAAUGCAUAAUGAAUUAAGUGCUAAAAGAAUGCAUGAGAUGCUAAGUAUGGACUAUUUUGGAUAAUGACUAUAUGUAUGUUGACAAAUCAUGUGAUGCUAGUGGUAUAUGUGCAUGAUGAUAUAUUAUGAAUUUACAUAUUGUGGAUUAUGUUAAAUAGAAAAACAUACUUGAUGACAUAUUGCCAUGUUGUGGAACAUAGUGGACAAUCUAUAUAUAUAUUAGAUCGAGUGGCAUUAAACCUAGCAUCUUGAACCUAGCAAACACUUGUGGUGAUUGAUCAUAUAUAUUCUGGUGUCAUUCAUGUAUGUUAGGACCCUAUUAUUGUGUAAAUGUGAGAGUUGGACUUGAACAUUAGUAAACAAGGGUGACAAUGACAAUAGAGACAUGAUUGGCAUCAAGAAAGUGAUUGUUAAACAUAGUUUAACCAUAUUGACAUUGGUCCAAGUUGACAUAGAGUGGCAUGAUUAAAUAGGUAGAAACCUAUUGUGACAUUGGCAUUGUGACUAGUGGCUAUGUAUCCUCAAGUUGAGGAUUGGAUCGAUACUCACGAUAAGUCUUGGCUUGAGGGAGGUAGCUCCCCCUCGGGCGGUGCGCUCCGGAGUUGGUCACCACUGGGCGUGGUAAAGUCCCACCAGUUGACGGUCCCUAGGGAGGUUCGAGUCCCCCGUUAUUAAGGGAUUUGGUUGUGAGUUAUUGGGGUUAACAUGGUUAACCGGUAAGAUUGGGUCAUAGCCAAAUGAGUGUACAACAAGUAUGCAUUAUGAGUUAUGGAUUUGGUAUCCUAGUCGAGAGGAUCUAGGGCUGAGGUGUAUGUGAGACGUCCAUCGCCUCGAGCCUGGUUCUAGUGCGGUACUCCGCAGACGAUUGACUCAAGACCGAGUCGGGUGGUUAGCCUUGUAAAGGUAGAUGAAACUUUAUGAUUAAAACGGUGAUUGACAAGAAUCUAAGAUAGAGGAAACCUUAGAUAUCAAAUGGAUGAGCUAUGGUUAGCAGAAUUGAAAGUAGUAUCGAAUGAACUACUAGUUGGUUGCAUAGUUGCAUUAUUGCAUGAUUUGCAUAUAGCAUUACAUUAUUGCAUUCGUGAGGCAAUGCAUGGUUUUAUUCGUUGCAUAAUCAAGAUAUAUAUCUAUCUGUUUAUUGAACUAACUUGCAGUUGCCUCCCUUGGACCUAUUGGUCGAGCUUUUCCCUUGGGUGGCCGUACCCACUGGGAACCAUGGAGUUGGUUCUCACCCCACGUGGUUUUGGGGUUUUUACAGGUUCGCACGUGAGCGGCGCGGCGGCGCGAGGCGAGGGCGUAGCAUCAUAGUUAGCGCCCUACCACCGAGACCAGAGAUAGCGAUACCCUGAGUCGGCCUUUACUUAGGGAUGUAAGAAAAUGAAAGGAAUAAGAUUGUAAUAGUCAUGUUAAAUCGGAUUGUAUUUGGAAGUUAAAUGUAAUAAGUAUUUGGGAUGUAAAAUGUAUGAAUAUGAGUGAAUGUAAUAAUAUAGGAUGUGUUAUGUUGUUUGAUACCUUCCAUUAAGCAAUCUUGAUUGAAAUGUGUUCCUGGUUGGAACUUCGCACAUUGUAUUGAUUGCUAUGCCUUGAACGUACAGGGGAGACUCUGUCCGCAGUACAGGAAAAACCCUGUCCGUUCGGCGAUCUGUUGGCGGCGCCGCGACCCGGCCAAAUAGGCAGGCGGUCGCGGGGCGUGACAGCCUCCACCCCUCUCAUUUCAGAAUCCUCAUUUGUAUUCUCAACUUUAAAGUAAUAGAAGAGCUUUCUUCUUAUCUCUCUCUUGUACUUAGUCUAGGGCGAGCGAGGUCCUAACUUAGCAAGUAGAGAGGCAGGCUUGCUCACUUCGCGAAGGAAGGCGAGCACCGCACGGGCUUUUGCAAGCAAAUUCGUUAAGUCCGUGACAGUUGGUAUCAGAGCCGGUUCGAGAAGGAGCCAUGUCGUCAUCAGAGGCCGCUGCUGGCGACGUUGGG